AAGUGGGAGUGGGGACCCUUCUCUUGCUCAGCUCCUCUGUGGCUCCUUUCCCCACAGGCACCCUGUGUGCCUGGCUGGUGGGGACAUGUGGCAUUGAAUAAUAUUACAGCUGAACUCUCUGGUGCCCUCUCCUCUCUGUAAGCCCCGAGAUUCCUGUGCCUGAUGCAGAAGCACAUCUGUUCAUCUCCAAGUGUUCCUUGCUUGGGAAAACAGGACGAAGUGAGUCCUUUCAACAGACUCUCCCAUCUCAGAUGUACUGGAGAUACCUAAAGGCCAACAUUUUUGCAAGGCUGCUUUCCCAGAAACUUCCCCAACAAGAUGAAUCACACUGGGAAAACUGCUGCCUGGGAUUUUCUCCCCCCCC